CCCUUAGAUGUUCUGGGCGGCCCGCGCACUACAAUGGCGUGUGCAGCGAGUGCCGAAGUAGAGUUUUCCGAGGUAUUCUUGCAAUGCUCGUUUUGAUGGGGAUAGACCCUUGCAACUGUUGGUUUUGAACGAGGAAUUCCUUGUAAGCAUGGUUUAUCAUCCGACGCUGAAUGCAUCCCUGCCCUUUGUACACACCGCCCGUCGCUCCUACCGAUGAGUCGUCCGGUGAAGUUCGUAGACCUCGUGAUCGCGGAUCACUGGGGGAAGCAAAAUGAACCUCGCGGUUUAGAGGAAGGAGAAGUCGUAACA
rnacentral:rRNA from 1 species